rnacentral:lncRNA from 10 species
ACCGUUGUUCUGCUGCCACCUGGAAAUCCUCCCAGAGCUCAAAGCCUGCUGCUCUGGGCAAAGCUGACAAGGAAGGACAGAUUCAGCAGCCAACCAAGGAGCAUACCUUCAUUUGAUUUCCUUAAGGCAAAAGCACUGGCUAAACAAAGGGAGACUAUCUGGGAGAAGGUGUUUUCACCCUUUCAAGCUGGGGUGCUUUCACCACCGGGAAGUGCCACGCUGCUUUCCACGCUGGAACAAGGACUCACUUCCUAAGGCCUUGGUUCCCCAGGAGCUGUUGGCCAGAAGCCUCCCUCGGUGCCCUGCCUCAUGGGCCUCUUCGUUGAGCAUCUCACAACGUGGCAGCUUACUUCAUCAGUGCAAGCAAGCAAGAGCAAGAGAGAGGACUCACCAGAGACAGUAAUAGCAAAACAGAAGGCACAGUCUUUCGUAAUCCAAUCACAGAUGUGACAUCCCAUCACUGUUGCCACAUCCUGUGAGUUAGAAAUGGUGGAGCCUUACUCUGUCGCUCAGGCUGGAGUGCAGUGGCGAGAUCUCGGCUCAAUGCAACAUCCGCCUCCCAGGUUCAAAUGAUUCUCCUGCCUCAGUCUCCGGAGUAGCUGGGAUUACAGGUGCCUGCCACCAUGCCCCGCUAAUUUUUGUAUUUUUAGUAGAGACGGGGUUUCACUAUGUUGGCCAGGCUGGUCUCGAAAUCCUGACCUCAGGUGAUCUGCCUGCCUCGGCCUCCCAAAGUGCUGGGAUUACAGGCAUGAGCCUCCAUGCCCGGCCUUGCUUUUUAUAUUUUUGACAAUAACAGAGCCACGGGAAGAAAGGAUGUGAUUAGGGGAAGAAAAAAGGGGAGAGGUUCAUGUUGUCUUUAUUUUCAUUAAUGAAUGUCUCAAACAUUUUAGGGUAUAAAUAGCAAUCAGUAUUUAGGAAAGGAAGCUGGAUUCACACUACUUGGAAAUCUGGGUCUUUACUCAUCCAUGGCAAUUUUUGGGUAUCAUGUGCUCUUACAGAAUCUCAUCUUAUGAUAUAGAUUCAGUUUACAGCUAUUCUAUGAUGCUUGAGUAUUUCAAAUAUUAAGUACAUUGAGGCUCAUGAGAAUUGCUAAUCUGCCGUGUGAAACUGCAGAGUUGUUUCCCAAGGGUAGAGAUGCAUUCACAUCCACCCACAUAGUACAAAGGGGGAAAUGAUUACGCUGGCCUGGAUUUUUUGUAAUAGUCCCGUGACAUGGCUUCCACAUUGCUCUGUGGGCUGUGGUUAAAGAACCUAAUCUAGAACAAGACAAGACUUGUAGAUUUAAAAAGUCACCUAAGCUGUUUCUUUCCUAGACAAAUGGGAUUCUAGUUUGGGUUUUAUUUUAUUUUAUUAUUUUUUGAGACAGUCUCAUUCUGUCAUCCAGGCUGGAAUGCUGUGGCGCAAUCUCGGCUCACUGCAAACUCUGCCCCCUGGGUUCAAGCUAUUCUCCUGCCUCAGCCCACCUAGUAGCUGGGAUUACAGGUGUGUGCCACCACACUCAGCUAAUUUUUUUGUAUUUUUAGUAGAGACGAGGUUUCACCAUGUUAGCCAGGAUGGUUUCAAACUCCUGGCCUCAUGUGAUUCACCCACCUUGGCCUCUCAAAGUGCUGGGAUUAUAGGCAUAAGCCACAGUGCCCAGCCCUAAUUUGAGUUUCAGAGGGCAAUUUGUACCGUUUGGAAAAGAUGCUGGAUCCUUCAAUAUUACUGCUUUAGAAAGAUUUGGAACUCUGACCCAUAUUUAGUACAUGACCUUUCUGGGGCGUGGAAAAAUAUGCUCUGUCAUCUAAUGUGAUGUCAAUUUUCUUUAACCUUCCAUGUAAAUAGUGCGCAUUAAGACAUGAGGUCUACUGUUAAAUAAUUUCUCUUUAUAAACAUAGUGACAACAAGAUUGUACAGUAUCAAUUAAAAAGACCCAAUGUGACCAGGUCCACUGCUUCCUGCAUCUUGAAGUAAGACAAGUGUUCAGCUUAGAGAUGAGCACCUUUCUUUCCAGAGGGAGAAGACAUGAUGGGAGAAAAAAAUGUUCUCUCUGAGAAUUUACCCAGAUAAAGAGCUGGGUAGUCGGAUCUAAAUGGUCCCACAGCAAUCCUUUUCUCGGGGGAGGUGCGUAGAUCUUUGACAAGUGAUGAACGAACUUUGCUUCGUGUGGUUAGGCCUGGGACUGAACUUUGUAACCAGGGAUUUGGUGCGCGGGGCUUCACAGGCUGCAGAGAAACAUGAAAACAUGAGUGCAUAUGCCAAACGUGUCUCAUGUGAGCGGCAGAGCCCAAGUGAAGGCCUCUUUGGCUAUAGGGUGUCUCCUUUUUUUUUUUCUUUUUGAGACGGAGUCCCACUCUGUCGCCCAGGCUGGAGUUCAGUGGCGCAAUCUCGGCUUACUGCAAUCUCCGACUCCCGGGUUCAAGUGAUUCUCUUGCCUCAGCCUCUGAAGCAGCUGGGAUUACAGGCGCCCGCCACCACGCCCAGCUAAUUUUUUUGUUUGUUUGUUUGUUUUUUUUGAGACGGAGUCUCACACUCUCUCCCAGGCUGGAGUGCAGUGGCGCCAUCUCGGCUCACUGCCAGCUCCGCCUCCCGGGUUCACGCCAUUCUCCUGCCUCAGCCUCCCGAGUAGCUGGGACUACAGGCGCCCACCACCACGCCCAGCUAAUUUUUUGUAUUUUUAGUAGAGACGAGGUUUCACCGUGUUAGCCAGGAGGGUCUUGAACUCCUGACCUCAUGAUCUGCCUGCCUCAGCCUCCCAAAGUGCUGAGAUUACAGGCGUGAGCCACCAUGCCCAGAGAUUAUUCUUUAAUUAAUCUCAAAAGCCUAACACCAGGGUAGUCUCUCUCAGCCUACUCUGGCUUGAAAAGCUGCCC